AAAUAUUGAAGAAUCUCUAACCAGGGACACCAGUCCCUACGAAGACCUUGGGCGAUUUUGAAGUGCGGGCACCUCGAUUCCCCGAAUCUGUAGUGUGGCUGGUAUCGGUGUUCCCCUGGUUUAACUAGCCUGUUUGAAGGCACAGAUCAUUCAUGGGGAUGUAUAACCGAAACCAGUCCUCUCCACCGCCUGGGGAUCUUCACUUUCGCAGUCUACGACUGCCUGUGACUCCAGAAAGACAAACUGCAGAUUGGCCAAGAAUCCACACUUCGUUUCUUCUAGGUCCAGCCUAAAUGUUACCUCCUCCAGGGAGCCUUUCCAGAUACUGCUUCUCCUCUCUCCCCCAACUCCCUCCCACAAAUGAAGUUUUCUCUUCUGAA
rnacentral:lncRNA from 1 species